rnacentral:rRNA from 1 species
GUUUGAUCCUGGCUCAGAAUGAACGCUGGCGGCGUGCUUAACACAUGCAAGUCGGAUGUGCCGCAAGGUGCAUGGCAGACGGGUGAGUAACGCGUGGGGAACCUACCUUUUUGUGGGGAAUAACGUUCCGAAAGGAACGGUAAUACCGCAUGUGACCAUGUUCUGGAAUGUGCAUGGUGAAAGCUGGGGAUCGUAAGACCCAGCGCAAGGAGAGGGUCCUGCGUCUGAUUAGCUAGUUGGUGGGGUAAUGGCCUACCAAGGCUUCGAUCAGUAGCCGGCCUGAGAGGGUGAUCGGCCACACUGGAACUGAGACACGGUCCAGACUCCUACGGGAGGCAGCAGUGGGGAAUUUUGCGCAAUGGACGAAAGUCUGACGCAGCAACGCCGCGUGGGUGAUGAAGGUCUUCGGAUUGUAAAACCCUGUCGUCAGGGACGAAGGGUUGCGACCUAAUACGUCGUGGCCUUGACGGUACCUGGAGAGGAAGCCCCGGCUAACUCUGUGCCAGCAGCCGCGGUAAUACAGAGGGGGCAAGCGUUAUUCGGAAUUAUUGGGCGUAAAGGGCGCGUAGGCGGCGUCGUAAGUAGGAUGUGUAAUCCCCGAGCUUAACUUGGGAACUGCAUCCUAGACUGCGAUGCUAGAGUGCUGGAGAGGGUGGUAGAAUUCCACGUGUAGCGGUGAAAUGCGUAGAGAUGUGGAGGAAUACCAGUGGCGAAGGCGGCCACCUGGACAGUAACUGACGCUGAGGCGCGAAAGUGUGGGUAGCAAACAGGAUUAGAUACCCUGGUAGUCCACACUGUAAACGAUGAACACUUGGUGUGGCGAGAGUUGACCCUCGCCGUGCCGGAGCUAACGCGUUAAGUGUUCCGCCUGGGGAGUACGGUCGCAAGGCUGAAACUCAAAGGAAUUGACGGGGGCCCGCACAAGCGGUGGAGCAUGUGGUUUAAUUCGACGCAACGCGAAGAACCUUACCUGGGCUUGAACUGCUAUUGACAGUGGCAGAGAUGUCAUUUUCCGCAAGGACAGUAGCAGAGGUGCUGCAUGGCUGUCGUCAGCUCGUGUCGUGAGAUGUUGGGUUAAGUCCCGCAACGAGCGCAACCCUUACCUCUAGUUGCCAGCACGUCAUGGUGGGAACUCUAGAGGGACUGCCCGGGUUAACCGGGAGGAAGGUGGGGAUGAUGUCAAGUCCUCAUGGCCCUUAUGUCCAGGGCUACACACGUGCUACAAUGGGUGGUACAAACCGUUGCAAUGCCGCGAGGCGGAGCUAAUCGGAGAAAGCCAUCCUCAGUUCGGAUUGCAGUCUGCAACUCGACUGCAUGAAGUUGGAAUCGCUAGUAAUCGUGUAUCAGAAUGAUACGGUGAAUGCGUUCCCGGGCCUUGUACACACCGCCCGUCACAUCACGAGAGCCGGGAGCACUUGAAGAGGGUGAGGUAACCGUAAGGAGCCAGCUCUCAAUGGUGAACUUGGUGAUUGGGGUGAAGUCGUAACAAGGUA